rnacentral:rRNA from 1 species
GGGGCAGCAUUUUAGUUUGCUUGCAAACUGAAGAUGGCGACCGGCGCACGGGUGAGUAACACGUAUUCAACCUGCCGAUAACUCCGGAAUAGCCUUUCGAAAGAAAGAUUAAUACCGGAUGGCAUACGAAUAUCGCAUGAUAUUUUUAUUAAAGAAUUUCGGUUAUCGAUGGGGAUGCGUUCCAUUAGUUUGUUGGCGGGGUAACGGCCCACCAAGACUACGAUGGAUAGGGGUUCUGAGAGGAAGGUCCCCCACAUUGGAACUGAGACACGGUCCAAACUCCUACGGGAGGCAGCAGUGAGGAAUAUUGGUCAAUGGGCGAGAGCCUGAACCAGCCAAGUAGCGUGAAGGAUGAAGGCUCUAUGGGUCGUAAACUUCUUUUAUAUGGGAAUAAAGUUUUCCACGUGUGGAAUUUUGUAUGUACCAUAUGAAUAAGGAUCGGCUAACUCCGUGCCAGCAGCCGCGGUAAUACGGAGGAUCCGAGCGUUAUCCGGAUUUAUUGGGUUUAAAGGGAGCGUAGGUGGAUUGUUAAGUCAGUUGUGAAAGUUUGCGGCUCAACCGUAAAAUUGCAGUUGAAACUGGCAGUCUUGAGUACAGUAGAGGUGGGCGGAAUUCGUGGUGUAGCGGUGAAAUGCUUAGAUAUCACGAAGAACUCCGAUUGCGAAGGCAGCUCACUAG